UACGUAGGGGGCAAGCGUUGUCCGGAUUUAUUGGGCGUAAAGAGCGUGUAGGCGGCCAGAAAAGUCCGCUGUGAAAACUCGAGGCUCAACUUCGAGCUGUCGGUGGAAACUUUCUGGCUAGAGUCCGGAAGAGGAGAAUGGAAUUCCUGGUGUAGCGGUGAAAUGCGCAGAUACCAGGAAGAACACCCGUGGCGAAGGCGGUUCUCUGGGACGGUACUGACGCUGAGACGCGAAAGCGUGGGGAGCGAACAGG
rnacentral:rRNA from 1 species